rnacentral:rRNA from 1 species
UUAAUUCAUACAUCUUAUUUAAUUUCUGUUGUUGAUUUAUUUAUUUUUAUUUGAUGUUAAGAUUGAGGGGGAUUAGCUCCUUGUUCUGCUUUUAUAAUUGUCUGUUGUUAAUUUAGUUUUGUGGAUUUUAUGGUGAUUUUCUAUUUGAUUAUGUUAAAAUUUUAUUUGUUCUUUUUUUAAUUUUUUUGUUAUUUAAGUUAUUUAUUGAAAGGUUUUCUUUACUUUUAGUUUGAAUGGCAAUUAUUGUGUAAUUAGUAAAUUUUAUUGAUUGUUUUGGGAGUACGGGAGGUGUUAAUUGCUUUUGAGGAAUUCGGCAAAAUUUUAUGUCCGCCUGUUUAACAAAAACAUCUUUUCUUGUUAGUUUUUGAAGUAUGGCCUGCCCACUGACUGUUAAAGUUGAAGGGCCGCGGUAUUUUGACCGUGCAAAGGUAGCAUAAUCAUUAGUUCUUUAAUUGUGAUCUGGUAUGAAUGGCUUGACGAGACAUAAGCUGUCUUAAAGGUAUUGGUUUAAUUGAAUUUGGUUUUUGAGUUAAAAUUCUUAAAUGUUUUUAUGGGACGAGAAGACCCUAUAGAGUUUGACAAUUUUCUUAUUUAUUCGUUGUUUGUUUUAUUUCACAUUGAGUGGGAAUAGAUUGUUUUGUUGGGGUGAUGGGAGGAAUAUUGUUUAACUCCUCUUUGUUUUUGUAUAUUUAUGUAUAUUUUUUUGAUCCAUUUAUUUUGAUUAUAAUAUUAAAUUACC